GGUGGGUGGGAGGAAGCAUAAUUUUCUUUUACGCACGGCGUCACUCCCAAUGGGUGGCUGGGUGGAGAUAAGACAAGAACGUAUAGGUUUCGCACGAAUGGCGGCACUAUGGUGGAACUCCAGUGGCACUAUGGCAACAGUAGGUGGCUGGGUGGAGGGAAGACAACACCGUUUAGGUAUGGGGCACUUCGACGACAAUGGUGGCUGGGUGGAAGGAAGAUGACUUUCUCUCUCUAGUUUUCGUUUUCGUGCUCGAGCUUUUCUCUCUCAAAUACUUCUCAGAUAGGAAAUCUGAAAGUGACAAAAUGAAUUUGAAAUUCAAAAUCUACCCCCCU
rnacentral:lncRNA from 1 species